GACGAACCGUGCAAACGUUAUUCGGAAUCACUGGGCAUAAAGGGCGCGUAGGCGGCUCCAAAAGUCAGGGGUGAAAUCCGGCAGCUUAACUGUCGCAGUGCCUUUGAUACUGUGGAGCUAGAGGGAUGUAGGGGUCUGUGGAACUUCCGGUGGAGCGGUGAAAUGCGUUGAUAUCGGAAGGAACGCCGGUGGCGAAAGCGACGGACUGGACAUCUUCUGACGCUGAGGCGCGAAAGCCAGGGGAGCAAACGGG
rnacentral:rRNA from 1 species